CCUACGGGUGGCUGCAGUGGGGAAUAUUGCGCAAUGGGCGAAAGCCUGACGCAGCGACGCCGCGUGAGGGAUGAAGGUCUUCGGGUUGUAAAGCUCUGUCUUCAGGGACGAUAAUGACGGUACCUGAGGAGGAAGCCACGGCUAACUACGUGCCAGCAGCCGCGGUAAUACGUAGGUGGCGAGCGUUGUCCGGAUUUACUGGGCGUAAAGGGAGCGUAGGCGGAAGUAUAAGUGAGAUGUGAAAUCCUCGGGCUCAACCUGAGUGCUGCAUUUCAAACUGGAAGUCUAGAGUGCAGGAGAGGAGAAUGGAAUUCCUAGUGUAGCGGUGAAAUGCGUAGAGAUUAGGAAGAACACCAGUGGCGAAGGCGAUUCUCUGGACUGUAACUGACGCUGAGGCUCGAAAGCGUGGGGAGCAAACAGGAUUAGAUACCCGAGUAGUC
rnacentral:rRNA from 1 species